UGAGGAAUAUUGGUCAAUGGACGCAAGUCUGAACCAGCCAUGCCGCGUGAAGGAUGAAGGCGUUCUGCGUUGUAAACUUCUUUUGCGGGGGAAGAAACCUCAAUUUUCUAAUUGAGCCGACGGUACCCCGAGAAUAAGCACCGGCUAACUCCGUGCCAGCAGCCGCGGUAAUACGGAGGGUGCAAGCGUUAUCCGGAUUUACUGGGUUUAAAGGGUGUGUAGGCGGACUUUUAAGUCAGCGGUGAAAUCUCCGGGCUCAACCCGGAAACUGCCAUUGAUACUAUAGGUCUUGAAUGUUGUUGAGGUGGGCGGAACGGGUCAUGUAGCGGUGAAAUGCAUAGAUAUGACCCGGAACACCGAUUGCGAAGGCAGCCCACUAAGCAACGAUUGACGCUGAGGCACGAAAGCGUGGGGAUCAAACAG
rnacentral:rRNA from 1 species